rnacentral:rRNA from 1 species
AUUGAACGCUGGCGGCAGGCCUAACACAUGCAAGUCGAACGAGUGGCGGACGGGUGAGUAAUGUAUGGGAAACUGCCUGAUGGAGGGGGAUGACUGCUGUAAACGGUAGCUAAUACCGCAUACCAUGAGAUGUGCCCAGAGGGGAUUAGCUAGUUGGUGGGGUAACGGCUCACCAAGGCGACGAUCCCUAGCUGGUCUGAGAGGAUGACCAGCCACACUGGAACUGAGACACGGCCCCGACUCCGACGGGAGGCAGCAGUGGGGAAUAUUGCACAAUGGGCGCAAGCCUGAUGCAGCCAUGCCGCGUGUAUGAAGAAGGCCUUCGGGUUGUAAAGUACUGUCAGCGGGGAGGCGUUACCCGCAGAAGAAGCACCGGCUAACUCCGUGCCAGCAGCCGCGGUAAUUC